rnacentral:rRNA from 1 species
AACGAACGCUGGCGGCGUGCUUAACACAUGCAAGUCGAACGUGAAUCGACCUUCGGGUCGAGGAAAGUGGCGCACGGGUGAGUAACACGUGGAUAAUCUACCCGAUGGUCCGGGAUAACAUUUCGAAAGGGGUGCUAAUACCGGAUAAGCUCACGGGCUCUUCGGAGCUUGCGGGAAAAGGUGGGGAGCCUUCGGGUCCUACCGUCAUUGGAUGAGUCCGCGUCCCAUUAGCUAGUUGGUGGGGUAAUGGCCUACCAAGGCAACGAUGGGUAGCUGGUCUGAGAGGAUGAUCAGCCACACUGGAACUGAGACACGGUCCAGACUCCUACGGGUGGCUG